UUUCAACGCUUCUUUGUUUGGAUUCGCAAGGAUGGUAUUGUUCUUAUACGCCUCCAGAUGGGUGUCGGCACGUUGUGAUUGAGUAAGAGGAUCCAUGUUGUCCCAAUCAAAAACAAAACUCAGUAGUUUGCACCUGCAUCUACUUAAGGCUGACUGCUACAAAACUGGAGGUUCUGGAUUAAAAACAAGUGUUCUGGAGACUAGUCCGGCAUGAAGGCAUAAUUACAGCUUGAAAGUGGAUAUAGACAUGAGCAAUAACAAGAAAACAAGAAAACCAAUAGUAAGUGAAAAUUAAAAAUACCAGGAAUGCUGGAACUCUGAAACAAAUUCGGAAAAUGCCUGAAACUCUUAGUAAUCCAGGCAGCAUCCUCGGAAAGAGAAACAGUUAAUAUUUCAGAUCAUUUCUUCAUUUGU